rnacentral:misc_RNA from 1 species
UCCGGUUUGGCACCGGCAGUCCCCCGAGAGUCCUCAGCGCCUUGCGGCCUGUUAGCAACACGGGGCGGGGGUUGCGCUCGUUGCGGGACUUAACCCAACAUCUCACGACACGAGCUGACGACAGCCAUGCACCACCUGUGCAGGCUCCGAAGAGCGCCCGCUUUCACGGGUUUCACCCUGCAUGUCAAGCCCAGGUAAGGUUCUUCGCGUCGCAUCGAAUUAAACAACAUGCUCCGCUGCUUGUGCGGGUCCCCGUCAAUUUCUUUGAGUUUUAAUCUUGCGACCGUACUCCCCAGGCGGAAUGCUUAAAGCGUUAGCUGCGCCACUAGUGAGUAGACCCACUAACGGCUGGCAUUCAUCGUUUACGGCGUGGACUAC